AGCAAAUAGAUACCCAGGUAGUCCCAGCCGUAAACGAUGCUCGCUAGGUGUCAGGCAUGGCGCGACCGUGUCUGGUGCCGCAGGGAAGCCGUGAAGCGAGCCACCUGGGAAGUACGGCCGCAAGGCUGAAACUUAAAGGAAUUGGCGGGGAGCACAACAACGGGUGGAGCCUGCGGUUUAAUUGGACUCAACGCCGGACAACUCACCGGGGGUCGGACAGCAAUAUGUAGGCCAAGCUGAAGACUUUGCCUGAAUCGCUGAGAGGAGGUGCAUGGCCGUCGCCAGUUCGUACUGUGAAGCAUCCUGUU
rnacentral:rRNA from 1 species